rnacentral:rRNA from 1 species
ACGAACGCUGGCGGCGUGCUUAACACAUGCAAGUCGAACGGAAAGGCCCUGCUUUUGUGGGGUGCUCGAGUGGCGAACGGGUGAGUAACACGUGAGUAACCUGCCCUUGACUUUGGGAUAACUUCAGGAAACUGGGGCUAAUACCGGAUAGGAGCUCCUGCUGCAUGGUGGGGGUUGGAAAGUUUCGGCGGUUGGGGAUGGACUCGCGGCUUAUCAGCUUGUUGGUGGGGUAGUGGCUUACCAAGGCUUUGACGGGUAGCCGGCCUGAGAGGGUGACCGGCCACAUUGGGACUGAGAUACGGCCCAGACUCCUACGGGAGGCAGCAGUGGGGAAUAUUUCACAAUGGGCGGAAGCCUGAUGCAGCAACGCCGCGUGCGGGAUGACGGCCUUCGGGUUGUAAACCGCUUUCGCCUGUGACGAAGCGUGAGUGACGGUAAUGGGUAAAGAAGCACCGGCUAACUACGUG